GAUGAAGAAGCAGCGAAAUGCGAUACGUAAUGUGAAUUGCAGAAUUCAGUGAAUCAUCGAGUCUUUGAACGCACAUUGCGCCCCCUGGUAUUCCGGGGGGCAUGCCUGUCCGAGCGUCAUUGCUGCCCUCAAGCACGGCUUGUGUGUUGGGCCUCCGUCCUCCUCCCGGGGGACGGGCCCGAAAGGCAGCGGCGGCACCGCGUCCGGUCCUCGAGCGUAUGGGGCUUCGUCACCCGCUCUUGUAGGCCCGGCCGGCGCUUGCCGACACAUCAAUCUUUUUUCCAGGUUGACCUCGGAUCAGGUAGGGAUACCCGCUGAACUUAAGCAUAUCAAUAAGCGGAGGA
rnacentral:misc_RNA from 1 species